GAGAAUAAAAACAAAGAGAAAACAAGAGAGAAGUUAGUUUGUAAAAAGGGAGAAUAGAGUGCCGAAGCACUUAGAGUGAAGAGAAAGAAAAAUAUAGUGUUUGUGUGUGUUUUUAGUUGUGAGAGAGUGAUUGUGAGAUUAACAAAUAUUAUAUUGUGUGGCGUGUUGUUUGUCUUCUAGUCAAUUUAAUAUAAAAGUUUCUUUUCAAUUACCCAUCAUUUCUUUUAUAUUUCCAACAAGUGGUAUUAGAGCCACGUUCGAUCAAAAAUGGCAGAUAUGAUGAAGCCACAAAUUCCAAAGUUGUCAAGUAUACUCAUGAAUUUCUUAUAAGCCAUAAGAAAAAAACACAUCUAGCUUACUAUUGCACAGCAGACCGAAGCUCAAAGGUUAUUGACCUGACUAGUGCUCUCCCUCCGCCCAAGCAAUAUGUUCCUUUGGCAGCGCUCCAGAUCUAAACUUGUAGAUUUACCUCCGCCAUUUCAAUAUUUAAGUUUCCUGAAUUCACUCGUAUUCUUCAUUAAGGUAGCAUAUAUUAAGUUUUUAUGUUUUUGUCAACUUAAUUUUAUCAUGCUGUUAUAACUUUUAUUGAAGGAGGAUAUACCAUGAGUUGGUAUUGGUUUAAUAUCCGUAUGUGAUUGACUGUUGCUUUUUGUGUUUGAAUACUCCUUCUAUAUAGACUUGAGGCUAUAACUAUUACGUCAAGGACUUCUUUUUCUAUACGGAAAUUAUUAAAAAAAGACGUAUGGUGUGGAAAUAUGCAUAAGCGGCUGAAAACGCAACAUAA
rnacentral:lncRNA from 1 species